rnacentral:rRNA from 1 species
UACGAAGGGGGCUAGCGUUGUUCGGAAUUACUGGGCGUAAAGCGCGCGCAGGCGGUCUUCCAAGUCAGUGGUGAAAGCCCGGAGCUCAACUCCGGAACUGCCAUUGAAACUGUGAGACUUGAGUACGAGAGAGGUGAGUGGAAUUCCCAGUGUAGAGGUGAAAUUCGUAGAUAUUGGGAAGAACACCGGUGACGAAGGCGGCUCACUGGCUCGUAACUGACGCUCAGGCGCGACAGCGUGGGGAUCAAACAGG